CACGUUUCAGAUACUCAUUGAGCAGGAAACACACCUGGUGACAGCAGCCUCACCAUACUAAUCAUCCGCAAAAAAAGAAAAAGAGAGAGCAGCCUCACAAUACUAAUCAUUAUAAAUGCAUUGCUCUGGUAUGAUCAUGCAAAUCACCAUCAAUUAGAUUCACGAGUCAAGCAUAGUAAAUAGGAGGGGAUCUUACUGAACACGUUCCAGUCAUUUUCCACAUUUUCAUAGGCUGCAAGUGGCUACCACACCUUGGUAUUUUGACAACAGCCUUUCUCCUUUUACUCUCCUUUUGCCUGUGGAUUAAAACAUUUCAUUAGGUACAGAAAGUCAACCACCAAACCCAGUAGAUUCCUAAUGCUCACUAAACUUUAUGCCAUGAGAUCAUCUUCAUUUCUCAUAUUCCAUUUCUUACCUGAAUAGCUGAAUUCAGUCACUGUGCAAUAUUUCUUCAGAUAUUUCCAACUAGGUACACAUUUCCUUUUUUCUUUGUGGACCUUCACACCACCUUUGCAACUUUCACAAAGAAUGACGACCAGUUUCAAGUUCUAACUGCCAAAGUGAACAUUUCAUUGACCAUAUGGAGGCUGGAUCUUUAAGGGCCACAUAUUCAGGUCAACUGGAAUAGA
rnacentral:lncRNA from 1 species